rnacentral:rRNA from 1 species
ACCCUAUUAUAAAAAAUAUAAAUUAAGUUAUUAGAGUAGUAUUAGUUAUAUUCUUGAAAUUUAAAAAAUUUGGCGGUAUUUUAGUCUUUUCAGAGGAACCUGUUUUGUAAUCGAUAAUCCACGAUUAAUUUUACUUAAUUUACAAGUUUAUAUAUCGUCGUAGAUAGAAUAUUAUAAUAAUAUAAAUAAUAUUCAUAAUUUAUAAUUAAUAAAAGAAAUCAGAUCAAGGUGUAGUUUAUAAUUAAGGAGUAAUGGGUUACAAUAAAAUUAUUUAAAAAUGGUUUUAAUAAUUAAAAUUAUUAAAUAAAGUGGAUUUGGAAGUAAUAUAUUUAAUUUAAAAUAUAUGAUAAAAGCUCUAAAAUAUG